CUACGGGCCGCUGCAGUAGGGAAUCUUCCACAAUGGACGAAAGUCUGAUGGAGCAAUACCAUGUGAACGAUGAAGGUCUUUUUGAUUGUAAAGUUCUUUUAUGAGGGAUAACAACUGAUAGUACCUCAUGAAUAAGUGACAGCAAACUAUGUGCCAGCAGCUGCGGUAAUACAUAGGUCGCAAGCAUUAUUCGGAUUUAUUGGGCGUAAAGCAAGCGCAGGCGGAUGUGUAAGUUCUGUGUUAAAAGUAGCUACUUAAUAGUUGUUUGCACCGAAUACUACAUGUCUAGAAUGUGGUAGGAAGUUUUGGAAUUAAACAUGGAGCGGUGGAAUGUGUAGAUAUGUUUAAGAACACCGGAGGCGAAGGCGAAAACUUAGGCCAUAAUUGACGCUUAGGCUUGAAAGUGUGGGGAGCAAAUGGGAUUAGAUACCCUAGUAGUC
rnacentral:rRNA from 1 species